rnacentral:tRNA from 1 species
AGGGGUACAGCUCAGUAGUAGAGCAUGUGCUUAGCAUGCACAAGGUCCUGGGCUCAAUAUCCAGCACCCCCA